AUUAAGUUCGGACAUUUAAGAAAUGGAAUUCUUGAGACGCAGUCUAGUUCAUCGCAGUACUAGCGAUGGCUACUUUAAGUAUCAUUCAGGCUGCUCCUGAACCUUGCAUAGCUGGUCGUAAGUGAUAAAAGAAGAACGAUGAAAAUUAAUUCUGGCUCUGAAAAAUGGAAUGAUAUCCGAAUAUGUUCUCCUAUAUAUGCAAAAAAUCUUAUAAACAGAAAAGAAAUGAUGGAAACGUUUGAAUUGUUUUCAAAUGUCAUGCUCACCAAAGUUUUAAAACAUUUUCCCGUUAUCUGAGUGUAUCUAAAAUAUCAUAAUAAAAUUUGUAAAUUUAUCUAAAAUA